rnacentral:rRNA from 1 species
GAUGAACGCUGGCGGCGUGCCUAAUACAUGCAAGUCGAGCGAACGGACGCGACGCUUGCUUCUCUGAUGUUAGCGGCGGACGGGUGAGUAACACGUGGAUCACCUACCUAUAAGACUGGGAUCACUUCGGGACACCGGCGCUAAUACCGGAUAAUCUUUUGCACCGCAUGGUUCAAAAGUAAAAGACGGUCUUGCUGUCACUUAUCGCUGGAUCCGCGCUGCAUUAGCUAGUUGGUACGGUAACGGCUUACCAAGGCAACGAUGCAUAGCCGACCUGAGAGGGGGAUCGGCCACACGGGAACGGAGACACGGUCAAGACGCCUAAGGGAGGCAGCAGUAGGGAAUCUUACGCAAUGGGCGAAAGCCUGACGGAGCAACGCCGCGUGAGUGAUGAAGGUCUUCGGAGCGUAAAACUCUGUUAUUAGGGAAGAACAUAUGUGUAAGUAACUGUGCACAGCGUGACGGUACCUAAUCAGAAAGCCACGGCUAACUACGUG